GACGAACGCUGGCGGCGUGCCUAAUACAUGCAAGUCGAACGCUGAAGGAGGAGCUUGCUCUUCUGGAUGAGUUGCGAACGGGUGAGUAACGCGUAGGUAACCUGCCUGGUAGCGGGGGAUAACUAUUGGAAACGAUAGCUAAUACCGCAUAACAUUGACUAUUGCAUGAUAGUCAAUUAAAAGGUGCAAAUGCACCACUACCAGAUGGACCUGCGUUGUAUUAGCUAGUUGGUGGGGUAACGGCUCACCAAGGCGACGAUACAUAGCCGACCUGAGAGGGUGAUCGGCCACACUGGGACUGAGACACGGCCCAGACUCCUACGGGAGGCAGCAGUAGGGAAUCUUCGGCAAUGGACGGAAGUCUGACCGAGCAACGCCGCGUGAGUGAAGAAGGUUUUCGGAUCGUAAAGCUCUGUUGUAAGAGAAGAACGAGUGUGAGAGUGGAAAGUUCACACUGUGACGGUAUCUUACCAGAAAGGGACGGCUAACUACGUG
rnacentral:rRNA from 1 species